UACGGAGGGGGCUAGCGUUGUUCGGAAUUACUGGGCGUAAAGCGCACGUAGGCGGCUUUGUAAGUUAGAGGUGAAAGCCCGGGGCUCAACUCCGGAAUUGCCUUUAAGACUGCAUCGCUAGAAUUGUGGAGAGGUAAGUGGAAUUCCGAGUGUAGAGGUGAAAUUCGUAGAUAUUAGGAAAGAACACCAGUGGCGAAGGCGGCUCACUGGCCCGGAACUGACGCUCAUGUGCGAAAGCGUGGGGAGGCAAACAAGGGAUUAAGAAACCCCGGU
rnacentral:rRNA from 1 species